AUUGAACGCUGGCGGUAUGCUUAACACAUGCAAGUCGAACGGUAGCAGGCCUUCGGGCGCUGACGAGUGGCGGACGGGUGAGUAACGCGUAGGAAUCUGCCUCAUAGUGGGGGACAACGUGGGGAAACUCACGCUAAUACCGCAUACGCCCUACGGGGGAAAGCGGGGGAUCUUCGGACCUCGCGCUAUGAGAUGAGCCUGCGUUAGAUUAGCUAGUUGGUAGGGUAAAGGCCUACCAAGGCGACGAUCUAUAGCUGGUCUGAGAGGACGAUCAGUCACACUGGGACUGAGACACGGCCCAGACUCCUACGGGAGGCAGCAGUGGGGAAUAUUGGACAAUGGGCGCAAGCCUGAUCCAGCAAUACCGCGUGUGUGAAGAAGGCCUUAGGGUUGUAAAGCACUUUCAAUUGGGAGGAAAACCUGUCGGUCAAUACCCGGCAGCUUGACAUUACCUUUAGAAGAAGCACCGGCUAACUCCGUGCCAGCAGCCGCGGUAAUAC
rnacentral:rRNA from 1 species